AUUGAAUUUAAUUCAGGAUUAAAUAUUAUAUUGUAUAAUUUAAUUUAUAUUUUAUAUUUUAAUCUAAAAUUAAUAGGGAUAAGCUUAUUAAUUAAUUUAUAGCUUUAAUUUUGUUUAAGAUUUGUAGGAUUAAAAAUUUCCAUCAUUUAUUUUUUUAUAAUUAAUUUUAAUUUAUAUUUUAUUUUAUUUAGGUUUAAAUUUUUAUUAAAAAUAGUUAUUUAAUAAAAUAAAUAACUGUUAUAAUGAUAAAAUUAGUAAAUUAUGUAACUAAUAUAUAGUAAUUCGGCAAAAUUAUCCUUCACCUGUUUAACAAAAACAUGUUCUAAUGUUUAAUUUUAUUAGAUUUAACCUGCUCAAUGAUAUUUAUUAAAUAGCCGCAGUAUUUUGACUGUGCGAAGGUAGCAUAAUCAUUUGUCUUUUAAUUGGGGGCUUGUAUGAAAGGUUGAAUGAGGGGAUAACUUUCUUUAUAUUAAAUAUUGAAUUUAAUAUUUAAGUUAAAAAGCUUAAAUUUUUAAAAGGGACGAGAAGACCCUAUAGAAUUUUAUAUUUUUUAUAAAUUAAUUAUUUUGGUUAAUUUUAAUUUAAUUUAUAAAUAAUAUUUUGUUGGGGUGAUAGUAAGAUUUAUUUAACUCUUAUAAUUUAUUUUAUUGUUGAUUGGCAUAUUUAUGAUCCUAUUUUUGGAUAAUUAGAC
rnacentral:rRNA from 1 species